UACAGAGGUGGCAAGCGUUGUUCGGAUUCACUGGGCGUAAAGGGUGCGUAGGUGGUUUGGUAAGUUGGAUGUGAAAGGCCACAGCUCAACUGGGGAAUUGCAUCCAAAACUAUCUUACUAGAGGAUUUGGGAAGUGAGCGGAAUUCUAGGUGUAGCGGUGAAAUGCGUAGAUAUCUAGAAGAACACCGGUGGCGUAGGCGGCUCACUAUCAUUCUCCUGACACUGAUGCACGAAAGCAUGGGGAGCAAACGGG
rnacentral:misc_RNA from 1 species